CAUGGGAGUUAAAGUGGACAGAAGAAAGGAGACAGAAUCAAGACAAAGGGAGGCCCUACUUAAGAAGGUGGCUUAGAAAAGAACAAGAUAGAAAGAGCAGGGCCAAGGCAGAGGAACAGAGUCCAGAGAGUAGAGAGGGAGGAGAGGUGAAGUCAAGGGCAUGGGGGGUGAGGACACAGGGAUGUCUGUAGGUAUCGGCCAGAUACCUACAGAGGGUGCUGGGGAGGGAGGGAGGGGAGAAGAGGGAAGAGGAAAGGAAGGGAGAGUGGAGAGGGGCUGCCUGGCGUGCAGGAGGUGGGGGGAGACAGGGAAAGAGAAGGGAACGGAGGAGAAAGAACGUUAGGGAGGACGGAACAGAAACAAUGGCUGUGAAACAAUGGCGAGGAACCCUUGUAGAGGGUUCUAAGCUCAGAGGCAGAGACAGGCUGUUGGCACCACUGGGCAGCUGAGGCGCUCAGGCUCCAGGGAGGGGAAACCUGAGCUGUGAGAGAGACCAUCAGAGGACCAGGGGAGCCAUCACUCAUGCCCCGCUUGUUCCAUUCGGGAAUUACUUCUUGCCUAUGAACUCCUAAAGAUCCUGCAGACUACUAGGCCCACCUGUGUGCUCUCGAGCAGUUUUCUGGAGUUGAAAUUAUCUCCGUUAGCCAACCGUAUCACAUGAACAGCAUCAGCAGCCACAGCAUCAGGAGGUUUGAUUCCUGGAACAGGAAGGACAGAGAACAAAGUGAAGUUCUGCGAUAUGGCUGUCACAACUGGGUGGGGAGGAUGGGGAGAUGGGGAAGGGGUAGAGACGGACAAGGAAUCAGGCAAGCAUCGACACCAGUAAAAUUCCAAGUACUUAUUAAGGUCGGUAUAGCACUAAGCUUCUUUCUUCAAUUAUAUGAUACAGAAUUAUCACAGGGUGUAUUACUAUAGGGUUGAAACAAUGAGGUUGCAUUACUGGCUCAAUCCCUCACUCCUCUCUGACUGAGCUGAGCUAUCCUCUUUCCAUUUUUAAAACCAGAGGUCAGAACUUUCAAGGUAUUUAUCAACCUCUCCUAUUCGCUGUCAAUGAUGA